rnacentral:rRNA from 1 species
GAUGAACGCUGGCGGCGUGCUUAACACAUGCAAGUCGAACGGGAAAUAUUUCAUUGAGACUUCGGUGGAUUUGAUUUAUUUCUAGUGGCGGACGGGUGAGUAACGCGUGGGUAACCUGCCUUAUACAGGGGGAUAACAGUCAGAAAUGGCUGCUAAUACCGCAUAAGCGCACAGAGCUGCAUGGCUCAGUGUGAAAAACUCCGGUGGUAUAAGAUGGACCCGCGUUGGAUUAGCUAGUUGGUGGGGUAACGGCCCACCAAGGCGACGAUCCAUAGCCGGCCUGAUAGGGUGAACGGCCACAUUGGGACUGCGACACAGCCCAGACUCCUACGGGAGGCAGCAGUGGGGAAUAUUGCACAAUGGGGGAAACCCUGAUGCAGCGACGCCGCGUGAAGGAAGAAGUAUCUCGGUAUGUAAACUUCUAUCAGCAGGGAAGAUAGUGACGGUACCUGACUAAGAAGCCCCGGCUAACUACGUG